rnacentral:rRNA from 1 species
CAGCAGCCACGGGAAUACAGAGGGUGCGAGCGUUAAUCGGAUUUACUGGGCGUAAAGCGUGCGUAGGCGGCUUUUUAAGUCGGAUGUGAAAUCCCUGAGCUUAACUUAGGAAUUGCAUUCGAUACUGGGAAGCUAGAGUAUGGGAGAGGAUGGUAGAAUUCCAGGUGUAGCGGUGAAAUGCGUAGAGAUCUGGAGGAAUACCGAUGGCGAAGGCAGCCAUCUGGCCUAAUACUGACGCUGAGGUACGAAAGCAUGGGGAGCAAACAGGAUUAGAUACCCCCGUAGUCCCUGUCUCUUAUAU